UACGUAGGGUGCAAGCGUUAAUCGGAAUUACUGGGCGUAAAGCGUGCGCAGGCGGUGAUGUAAGACAGAUGUGAAAUCCCCGGGCUCAACCUGGGAACUGCAUUUGUGACUGCAUCGCUGGAGUGCGGCAGAGGGGGAUGGAAUUCCGCGUGUAGCAGUGAAAUGCGUAGAUAUGCGGAGGAACACCGGUGGCGAAGGCAAUCCCCUGGACCUGUACUGACGCUCAUGCACGAAAGCGUGGGGAGCAAACAGG
rnacentral:rRNA from 1 species